rnacentral:misc_RNA from 1 species
ACUGUACUUGAUUUCUCCCCUUUCUUCCUUGAGAUACACGUUCACCAACACUGUCUCCAACACUAUCUUUGACCAACCGGGAAUUUCAUCAUACUUUAGUUGUUGACCAAACAGGGAGGGGAUUUUUUUUCUUCAUAGUGCAAAUAGCUACGCUACUGCACAGCCACCAUCUUCUCCUCGUGAAUUAGGAAAUUGGUAAUAGUUUACCUUCGUGUCGUUGCAUGCCAGUGGAUUGGAAAGGGAUUGGCUUUGAAUUAAACAAAAAAAAAAAAA